rnacentral:rRNA from 1 species
CCUACGGGGGGCAGCAGUGAGGAAUAUUGGUCAAUGGGCGGGAGUCUGAACCAGCCAAGCCGCGUGAAGGAUGAAUGCGCUAUGCGUUGUAAACUUCUUUUGUCGGGGAAUAAAGGGCGCCACGCGUGGCGUUGUGAGUGUACCCGAAGAAUAAGCAUCGGCUAACUCCGUGCCAGCAGCCGCGGUAAUACGGAGGAUGCGAGCGUUAUCCGGAUUUAUUGGGUUUAAAGGGUGCGUAGGCGGUCGGGAAAGUCAGCGGUAAAAGCCCGGGGCUCAACCCGGGCGAGCCUUUGAUACUGUCGGACUAGAGAAGGCGAGAGGUACGCGGAAUGCGCGGUGUAGCGGUGAAAUGCAGAGAUAUCGCGCAGAACUCCGAUUGCGAAGGCAGCGUACCGGCGCCGGACUGACGCUGAGGCACGAAAGCGUGGGUAUCGAACAGGAUUAGAUACCCUGGUAGUC